UUUGCAAAUAAAAGGCGCUUAGAUGUGACAAACUCCAGAGGAGUUCCAGGGUCAUGCACCCACAAAUCUAGAAAACUGUGUAAUCUAGUCCCACCAAAAGGGCCUUUUUCUCCAAUGUGCGGGGACAUUCUAUAGAAUUCGGAAGAUUAUAUAUAUGUACUUAUUACAAAAAGCAAAGUUAUUUAGUAUCAUUCACUCCAACUUCCAAGCUCAUAAAGAGAUCUUUGAUGGGAGACUUUGUUCAUUUGAUGAACCUUAAGUAUAAUAUUAGUGCGGACGUUCGAUAAUUUGGCAGUUAUCAUUUCGAUUUAAUUUCAUUCAAAUUAUUCUCAUUCAAAAUGUUUUGAUUAAUACUGUCAAGUGACAAGACGAAUUUUUAGUUUAGUUUUUCUGUUCAUUUUUUGCCCCAUUUUCUCCUUACUUAACAAUUUGUCACAGCAAAUUUUGUCAUUGCACAUUUUACAUUUUAUCACUGCACGCUUUACUUUUAUCACUGCACAAAAUGGUUAUCACUGCACACUAAAAUUAGGUAUGGUACAGAGAAUGAUCUGGUACUUAACCACGCCAAAUGUAAGGAGUUGAUCAUUUCGUUUGCUAAAGAUAGACCGAACUUUCGUCCAUUGUUUGUUGGAGAACAUUGUAUUUCCCGGGUUUCGUCAGCAAAAGUCCUUGGUCUUAAAUUAUUUUCUCGUCUGAUCUUUAUUGGAACUUGCAUAUUGAAUACAUCGCAGCAAAAGCAUCAAAGAUA